UAGAGUAUAGCUUAAAUAAAGCAUUUUGUUUACACCAAAAAAAUAUUUGUUUAACCAAAUUAUUCUGA
rnacentral:tRNA from 1 species